AGAGUUUGAUCCUGGCUCAGAACGAACGCUGGCGGCAGGCUUAACACAUGCAAGUCGAACGAUGUAGCAAUACAUAGUGGCGCACGGGUGAGUAACGCGUGGGAAUAUACCUUAUAGUGGGGAAUAACUUCGGGAAACUAAAGCUAAUACCGCAUACGCCCGAGAGGGGAAAGAUUUAUCGCUAUAAGAUUAGCCCGCGUGAGAUUAGGUAGUUGGUGGGGUAAUGGCCUACCAAGCCUACGAUCUCUAGCUGGUCUGAGAGGAUGAUCAGCCACACUGGAACUGAGACACGGUCCAGACUCCUACGGGAGGCAGCAGUGGGGAAUAUUGGGCAAUGGACGAAAGUCUGACCCAGCCAUGCCGCGUGAAUGAUGAAGGCCUUAGGGUUGUAAAGUUCUUUCGCCGAUGAAGAUAAUGACGGUAGUCGGAGAAGAAGCCCCGGCUAACUUCGUGCCAGCAGCCGCGGUAAUACGAAGGGGGCUAGCGUUGUUCGGAAUUACUGGGCGUAAAGCGAGCGUAGGUUGCUCGAUAAGUCAGUGGUGAAAGCCCAGAGCUCAACUCUGGAACUGCCAUUGAAACUAUCGAGCUGGAAUCUCAG
rnacentral:rRNA from 1 species